rnacentral:rRNA from 1 species
AGAGUUUGAUCCUGGCUCAGGAUGAACGCUGACAGAAUGCUUAACACAUGCAAGUCUACUUGAUCCUUCGGGUGAAGGUGGCGGACGGGUGAGUAACGCGUAAAGAACUUGCCUUACAGACUGGGACAACAUUUGGAAACGAAUGCUAAUACCGGAUAUUAUGACUGAGUCGCAUGAUUUGGUUAUGAAAGCUAUAUGCGCUGUGAGAGAGCUUUGCGUCCCAUUAGUUAGUUGGUGAGGUAACGGCUCACCAAGACGAUGAUGGGUAGCCGGCCUGAGAGGGUGAACGGCCACAAGGGGACUGAGACACGGCCCUUACUCCUACGGGAGGCAGCAGUGGGGAAUAUUGGACAAUGGACCAAAAGUCUGAUCCAGCAAUUCUGUGUGCACGAUGAAGUUUUUCGGAAUGUAAAGUGCUUUCAGUUGGGAAGAAGUCAGUGACGGUACCAACAGAAGAAGCGACGGCUAAAUACGUGCCAGCAGCCGCGGUAAUACGUAUGUCGCAAGCGUUAUCCGGAUUUAUUGGGCGUAAAGCGCGUCUAGGCGGUUUAGUAAGUCUGAUGUGAAAAUGCGGGGCUCAACCCCGUAUUGCGUUGGAAACUGCUAAACUAGAGUACUGGAGAGGUAGGCGGAACUACAAGUGUAGAGGUGAAAUUCGUAGAUAUUUGUAGGAAUGCCGAUGGGGAAGCCAGCCUACUGGACAGAUACUGACGCUAAAGCGCGAAAGCGUGGGUAGCAAACAGGAUUAGAUACCCUGGUAGUCCACGCCGUAAACGAUGAUUACUAGGUGUUGGUGGGUAUGACCCAUCGGUGCCGCAGCAAACGCAAUAAGUAAUCCACCUGGGGAGUACGUUCGCAAGAAUGAAACUCAAAGGAAUUGACGGGGACCC